rnacentral:rRNA from 1 species
GGCCUUCGGGUUGUAAAGCCCUGUCAUGCGGGAAGAAAAAUCUCCUGGAUAAUACCCUGGAGAUUUGACGGUACCGCAAGAGGAAGCUCCGGCUAACUCCGUGCCAGCAGCCGCGGUAACACGGGGGGAGCAAGCGUUGUUCGGAAUUACUGGGCGUAAAGGGCGCGUAGGCGGCCUGGUAAGUGAGACGUGAAAUGCCUCGGCUUAACCGAGGACCUGCGUUUCAUACUGCCAGGCUUGAGUACAGGAGAGGAGAGUGGAAUUCCCGGUGUAGCGGUGAAAUGCGUARAUAUCGGGAGGAACACCAGUGGCGAAGGCGACUCUCUGGCCUGAUACUGACGCUGAGGCGCGAAAGCUAGGGGAGCAAACAGGAUUAGAUACCCUGGUAGUCCUAGCCGUAAACRAUGAGCACUAGGUGUGGGAGGUAUUGACCCCUCUUGUGCCGCASCUAACGCAUUAAGUGCUCCGCCKGGGGAGUACGACCGCAAGGUUGAAACUCAAAGGAAUUGACGGGGGCCCGCACAAGCGGUGGAGCAUGUGGUUUAAUUCRACGCAMCGCGAAGAACCUUACCGGGACUUGACAUGCUCAGGACAGGCAUGGAAACAUGUCCUCCCUUCGGGGUCUGAGCACAGGUGCUGCAUGGCUGUCGUCAGCUCGUGUCGUGAGAUGUUGGGUUAAGUCCCGCAACGAGCGCAACCCUUGUCCUUAGUUGCUAGCGG